GACGAACGCUGGCGGCGUGCCUAAUACAUGCAAGUAGAACGCUGAAGAGAGGAGCUUGCUCUUCUUGGAAGAGUUGCGAACGGGUGAGUAACGCGUAGGUAACCUGCCUUGUAGCGGGGGAUAACUAUUGGAAACGAUAGCUAAUACCGCAUAACAAUGGGUGACCCAUGUCAUUCAUUUAAAAGGGGCAACUGCUCCACUACAAGAUGGACCUGCGUUGUAUUAGCUAGUAGGUGAGGUAACGGCUCACCUAGGCGACGAUACAUAGCCGACCUGAGAGGGUGAUCGGCCACACUGGGACUGAGACACGGCCCAGACUCCUACGGGAGGCAGCAGUAGGGAAUCUUCGGCAAUGGGGGCAACCCUGACCGAGCAACGCCGCGUGAGUGAAGAAGGUUUUCGGAUCGUAAAGCUCUGUUGUAAGUCAAGAACGAGUGUGAGAGUGGAAAGUUCACACUGUGACGGUAGCUUACCAGAAAGGGACGGCUAACUACGUGCCAGCAGCCGCGGUAAUACGUAGGUCCCGAGCGUUGUCCGGAUUUAUUGGGCGUAAAGCGAGCGCAGGCGGUUUGAUAAGUCUGAAGUUAAAGGCUGUGGCUCAACCAUAGUUUGCUUUGGAAACUGUCAAACUUGAGUGCAGAAGGGGAGAGUGGAAUUCCAUGUGUAGCGGUGAAAUGCGUAGAUAUAUGGAGGAACACCGGUGGCGAAAGCGGCUCUCUGGUCUGUAACUGACGCUGAGGCUCGAAAGCGUGGGGAGCGAACAGG
rnacentral:rRNA from 1 species